rnacentral:lncRNA from 1 species
AUGACCUUUCAAAGUAGAACCGGUGAGUGUUCGAGAAUACAAGCUAGUGCCCAGAAAUUAUUAGCAACACACCACUCAUUGAGUAACAAAGACUUCAACUUGCUAAACAAAGGGCACCAUCUUAAAUCACUUCUGAAAAUACGCUGCACAAAGUACAGGCGAGAAGAUCAUUCAAUCUUUAUAGUGAAUGAGCACGCAUUUGGCACUGUCAUUGCCAGCAUUAUCUACCAUACCAUAACAACCAUGACAGUAUUCAUCUUCACAGUUACCAGAUCAUCACUAUCUCGGUGGGGUCUGACAAAUGCUGCAAUUAAUGACGGCAUGCUUUCCAGAAAUGGAACUCUGCCCCAACAAUCAUCAAGACGGAGCGUAAUGAGACCAGAAAGAUUGAGCUCUGUCAAGUGCCUCGAGAAGAGUGAGAAGCCAUCGUCCAUUUCAAUGUAUGCAUGCAUAUUUUUUAUUGUAAGCACCUGGACUUGGCACAUUAGAGCAUACAUGACCCACAUGAUGGCACAAUGGAAUGGAUUACUGUCGCCGGACAUUAUCAUCCAGUGUGCACAUGAAUUGAUUUUGAUCUCAAACUUGUGUAGAGGCGAGCUGCCACGGAAGAGCACUAGAUGGUUGACAAGCUUGAUGAAGUCCUUGGGGCUCCUCCAUCUCUCUGUAUUGGUGAUGCACAGGAUGGGCGUCAAUUUCCAGAGAUGGCGCCAGCGCCGGGACAGGACACAGGUCUUCACGGCAUCCUCGGCCGGCAGGAAGGACAGAAUGUGCUGGAGGAGAGCAUCCGGGAGGACGUCGAUCCCGUCCUCUUCGCUGGCCUCAGCCAUUCUCUUGCUCCUCAAGCUCUUUUGCUUAGGAGACAUUCCGUCGAACAGGUGGCGGGCGACGCGGGCACUACCGCGCAAGAAGCGAAGAGCCGACUCACCAGGUGCAAUGCGAGGUCCUCGCUCAAUCAAUCAGACGCGCGGCGCCCGCUCGUGCCGCACGUGGGGAGGGGGACGCGGCUGCAGUAGCGCGGAUCUGAGGAAGAUUCGCCGGAGACGGCGGGGUCGUGGCGGUGGAUGUAGCCAAAGACACGCUUUCCGGGCUCACUGCUCUUCUUCCACUCUUUUUGGUUGCCUUAGGGCCUGCGCUAGCUACUCCCGAAAUCAGAAGCUUCUCAAAUAAUUCAGCUUUU